rnacentral:rRNA from 1 species
AUUGAACGCUGGCGGCAGGCCUAACACAUGCAAGUCGAGCGGUUGAAGGAAGCUUGCUUCCUGAUUCAGCGGCGGACGGGUGAGUAAUGCCUAGGAAUCUGCCUGGUAGUGGGGGACAACGUUUCGAAAGGAACGCUAAUACCGCAUACGUCCUACGGGAGAAAGCAGGGGACCUUCGGGCCUUGCGCUAUCAGAUGAGCCUAGGUCGGAUUAGCUAGUUGGUGAGGUAAUGGCUCACCAAGGCGACGAUCCGUAACUGGUCUGAGAGGAUGAUCAGUCACACUGGAACUGAGACACGGUCCAGACUCCUACGGGAGGCAGCAGUGGGGAAUAUUGGACAAUGGGCGAAAGCCUGAUCCAGCCAUGCCGCGUGUGUGAAGAAGGUCUUCGGAUUGUAAAGCACUUUAAGUUGGGAGGAAGGGCAGUCAGCGAAUACCUUGCUGUCUUGACGUUACCGACAGAAUAAGCACCGGCUAACUCUGUG